rnacentral:tRNA from 1 species
CGGGAGGUAGCUCAGCUUGGUAGAGCUUCCGAACCAGCCUAUUAUCGAGGCUGAUGGAGAUGCUGUAGACGUCUACCCUUAUGGUGGGCAUCAUUUAGCCUACUAAGCGUACAGACACCGGAUUGUCGCAGGUUCAACUCCCGCCCUCCCGACCA